UGGCAAGUCGAGGGGCAGCGUGACGGGUAGCAAUACCUGUUGACGGCGACCGGCGCACGGGUGCGUAACGCGUAUGUAACCUACCGUUCACAGGGGGAUAGUCAGAGGAAACUUUGAAUAAUACCGCAUAAAACAGGGGUCCGGCAUCGGAAUAUUUGUUAAAGGUGGCGACACGGUGAACGAUGGGCAUGCGUUCGAUUAGAUAGUUGGAGAGGUAACGGCUCACCAAGUCUACGAUCGAUAGGGGGUCUGAGAGGAUUAUCCCCCACACUGGUACUGAGAUACGGACCAGACUCCUACGGGAGGCAGCAGUGAAGAAUAUUGGGCAAUGGGCGAAAGCCUGACCCAGCCAUGCCGUGUGCAGGAAGACGGCCCUAUGGGUUGUAAACUGCUUUUACUCGGGAAGAAUAAGGGUUACGUGUAACCCGAUGACGGUACCAAAAGAAUAAGCAUCGGCUAACUCCGUGCCAGCAGCCGCGGUAAUACGGAGGAUGCGAGCGUUAUCCGGAAUUAUUGGGUUUAAAGGGUCCGCAGGCGGACAGGUAAGUCAGUAGUGAAAAACCUGGGCUUAACCCCGGUCGUGCUACAGAAACUGCCUGACUAGAGAAAGUUUGGCG
rnacentral:rRNA from 1 species